CAGGAACUAUGAGCCAUUUGUAACUCAGCAGCGAAGUUUGGCAGGCAUUUUACUCCUCUACGUCUUGAUAUGCAAGGAAAAGGAGAGUAUUGUAGAAGAGAAGACUGAAAUACGGACUAUUCGACUAGAAAAGAUUGAGGCAGCUGCAUAUUCCUGUGACAUUGAAAUUCGCUGCCCAAAGGCACCACAGAGCAUCAACAAUAUGUGAAUUGUGAAGUUCGAAGUUGCAGCCCACUAGCACCUUAUGGAACACAUGAUGGACUGUAAAUGCAUCUUUGCUGAUGUUGCCCACAUACUG